CCUACUCUAAUAAGGUUUUGAUAUCUGGAGCUUAUAGGUGGGAGAUAGCUAAUACAUACUUACAAGACAUUUAUUGCAUAGUCAAACCAUGGAUCCAGAGGAACAAGUCAAUAAGUCAAUAUUAAGAUGUGCAUGUGUGGCGAAUGAACGGUGUAUGGUGAUAAUGGUGAAAACAAUGGCGAAAGUCUAAUUCUACUUUUGAUCUUUUGUGGGGAUACAUACCUUUCUUGCUCUUUGAAACUUUUGUGGAGAAUGAGAUGCUCUAUAUUUAUUUAUUUUUUUCUCUCAGGUGGGUAUCUUGUGCCCCUAAUUCUACUGUCGGACACUUGUCCAUUUUUACCUCUCGUCUCACUUUUUCUUUUCUUCGAGGUUCCGGGCACUUGCCCCUUUUUAUUUCCUCGUAUUCCCUUUUUUUUCAGAGCACUCACCCUCCUGGAAUAAUGUAGCAAGUGGUAGUAACCAAAAUAUCUCGAGCAUUUAUUUCACGGGGAGUAACAGGGCUAGAAUAAUGUUUUUGCCUAUUCUCUCCUUGAUAGAAGUAGAAUAAUUUUGGGUGAAUCUAG
rnacentral:lncRNA from 1 species